CCCUGGGUUGACAGUUUUUAUUUCAGCAUUUGAAAAAUGUUUGUGCCACUUCCUUCUGGCCUCCAUGGUUUCUGAUGGGAAAUCUGCUAUCAUUCAAGUUGGUUUUCUUGUAUAUGUAAGAUGUUGUUUCUCUCUGUUUUCAAGAUUUUUUGUCAUUAGUUGUUUUUUUUUACUUUCUAUUAUAGGUCCAAAUUUUAUUAUAUUAAGUAGGCAUAAAUUUACAUUUAAAUAAAUAUAAGAAAAAAUACUGUCUUUAGUUUUGAGAAGUUUGACUUGAUAGGGAUUUCUUAAUCCUGUUUGUGAUUUACUUACUUCUUGAAUCUGUAGGUUUAUGUCUUUAGCCAGAUUUGGAAGCUUUUAGCCAUUAUUUCUUCAAGUGUUUUUUCAGUCUGAUUGUCUUUCUCCUUUCCUACUGGGAUUCAGAUGACUUGAAUGUUAGAUUUUUUUGUUAUGGGCCUAUAGGUCCCUGAGGCUCUGUUCAUUUUUUUUUUCAGUGUGUUUUCUUUCUGUUGCUCAGAUUGGGCAAUUUCUAUUGCUCUAUAUUCCAAUCCACAGAUUUCUUUCUUCUAACCCCUCUAUUCCGCUGUUGAACCCAUCCACUGAGUUUUAAACUUUAGUUAAUUUUCAUUUUAAAUUUCCAUUUGGUUCUCCUUUAUAUCUUCUAUUUCUUUGCUGAGACUUUCAAUUUUUUCUUUUUUCAAGCAUGUUCCUAAUUGCUUGUUGAAGCAUUUUUAAGAUGGCUGCUUUAGAAUCUUUGUUAGAUAAUUCUAAUAUCUCUCUCAUUUUAGUGUUGGUAUCUAUUGAUCUUUUUUCUUUCAAGUUGAACUUUUCCUAAUUCUUGGUGUAAUGAAUGACUUUCAGUUGAAACCUGGACAUUUUGGAUAUUAUGAGACUCUGGAUCUUAAACCUUUUGUUUUAACUGGCUUGUCUGAGACUAAUCAGGUAAGGGAAGGGAGGAACACUGCCUUGUUGCUGCCAGGUGGUGGGAGAAGUCCAGAGUCACUGCUUGGCCUCUGCUGAUCCUGGAGUGGGAACGGGCCCCUAGUUACUACUGAGCAGAGAUGGGAGUUCUGGAUCCCACUAGGCAUUGACUAAUACCACCCUGGUUGGGAGGGGUUGGAAUGCCUUGUUACUGUUCCUCAUGUGGCCCCUAUUGACACCACAGGAAGGUGGCCCCAUUACCUCUGGGCACUGGUGAGUCUUGACUCUACUAGGCCUCCUCUGUCACCACCCAACAGGGAUAGGGAGGGGUGCCUUGUUACUUCUGAGUAUGGGUGAAAGUUCAGACUCCCUAUGUGGUCUCCGCUGACACCAAGUGGGUAGAGGCCUCGUUAUUGUCAGGUGGGGAUGAAAGUCCCAGUUCCCUAUGGCCUUCUCUGAUACUACCUCAGUGUGUGUGUGUGACUGGGGUGGGGGUGAAGGAGCAAUUAUAGCCUAGUGAGGCAGGAAGUCUGGGCUCCCACUCCCCCUUUGCUGGUGUGGGCAGAAGUGGGGCUACUGUUUUUCCUGUGGUUUUUAGCUGGAGUAAGUUGUAACUGUCUAAAAGUUUUAAGUCUUAUUAGGCUGCCCCUCUCCUGGUCUUUUGCCUAGAGAAAACAGGCUUUUGCUGGGAAUUUUUUUUGUUUGCUCCUAUUGGCAUUUCUAGGUUGGCAGCUUCUUCAGCUCCAAGUAUUGGAUAUAUAAGGCUAAAAGAAAACCCAGGGAACUCAUCACCAGGUUGUACCUUGGAUCUGAAAGUCCCUAGCCUAUCUGCUUUCUCAUGUCCUAUAUAUAAUGUCCAGGCUUUUUAGUUGUACUUAGUGGGAGCAAUAGGGAAAAGUAUAUCUACUCCAUUUUCCUGGAAGCACAAGUCAAGAUGUAAUUUUAAAAUAUUAGAUGACUUCACAUUUUUGGAAUUGCAUAGAAAUCUAUUUACCACCAGUAUGGAAAAUCCGCCACUAGAAUAAUGUCUGGCACAUGGUAGGGAUUCAGUGAGUCAGUGAAUCCCCACUUUACCAAUCAUAAAAUUUAGGGAAUUAAGUAAUUUCUCCUAAGUCACAUAGUUCGUAAUGGGAAGAACUGGGAUUCAAACUUGGGCAGUCUGAGUCCAAAGCUCAGAUUCUCAGAAGCAUCACCAGGGCACUUGUGAAAUUCAAGGCCCCUGUUGUUCUCUGAUGACAAAGGAUGAGUGAGAGGGAGCCCCCACUUGAGACAGUGACAAAGUGACAACAUAACACUUUUCUACUGAAUUAACAAUGUCCUUUUAUUCUGCAAGCAAAUGCCCAAUGCUGUCAUCUCUCCUUCCAUUCACUGCCCAACUUCCUGCCUAGUGUCUUAACUACUUCCCAAAUUCCUAUGCAAAGGGGGUUCCACUCCACUUUCUGUUCUGCAGCUACCUUUUUUCCAUCCCCAAAGACCAAAUGCAAUAGUGUCUUCCCAAUUCUCAUCCAUUUAAAAUUUUCUGCAGUGUUUCCUAAUGUUAUUCACCACUUCCCAAACUUCUCCUUACUCUUGACUUUCAUGACCCUCCACUUUCUUGAUUUGCUCUCCAUCCCAUUGAUUGCUUUCUCUCUCCUCUUUUUACUCCCAUCCUUCCAAUGACAGAAUUCCUCAAUUUUUCUUUUCUCUUCAUUGUCCAGUCUCAUUCUCAGAGAGCUUGUCUAAGCUCACAGCCUCAACAAGGCUGGUAAAUACACUCAUUCAUUCAUUCAUUCAUUCAGUGUUCAUUUACUGAACACCAGCUGUGUACCAGGCAUUGCUCUAUAGCAGGGCACAAGGUAAACAAGAUGGCUCUUUUUAGGGAGUUUAUAUUCUAGUGGAAGACAGUAACCAAACAAAAACAACAAAUCAGUUAGUUACAGAGCCAUAUAGCAUUUUGACAAUAUUAAUCAAACUUGUAAACUUUUGUAAGCAUAAUCUCAAUUAUCUAUUAGAUUCUAAAAUUACUGAGGGUAAGAAUUUUGUUGUUUCCAUAAGACUUACGCUAUCACUUUGUACUUAUUUGUAUGAUGGUUUACUUUAAAGAUGUGCUUUCACAUAGUUGGUGAUUUAAAAAAUCUGUUGAAUGAUUAAAUAUUAAUUUUUUUAAGAACUUAAUUUAUAAAUAUCUCACAGCAGUUUAAUGUGUUCUUGAUGUUACACAAUGACUUUGAAACCUGCCCAGCCACAUACCAGCUGUGCAGUCUGGGGCAAGUUACUCAACCUCUCUACCUUCGUUAUUCUCGUCUCUUUCACUCAUGAACCUCAUACCCAGACAAGGACUCAGCUCAAGGCAUGCACCUUGAGGGACCUCUGUAUCUUAAGGGGAGGGCCUCUUUUUUGAUUAAAUGAAAUUAAAUGAGUUAAUACCUGUAAAGUGCUUAGUGCCUGGCAUUUAGUAAGUAUUCCAUGUAUGUUUGCUAUUUUAAUCUAUUUAUGUACACACUCUAUCUUUCAGAGAAUAUGAGGUCAUUAGAUAUUAUCUGUUGAAAUCUUACUGAUGUUAAGGUUUAAGUUUGGACUUUUACGUCUUGGAUGCUUUAAUGACUUUGUUAUCAAACAAAUAAAGAGAAGAAAUGCAUUUUUACCUCUUUCAACUUCAGAGAAUGAGCUUCUAAAAGACACACAGAGGACAGAGGAACAUAUGAAGGUGCACCAAGGGAGCACAACCAGCAGAAUCCAAAGCGGCGGAGACUCUGUGCUCAAACAACGUCGUUUCUUCAAAAGUAAACCACAAGGGGGUGGGGAGAAUCCACAAAGGAAAAGAGACUUCAGAGCCUAUCAACCAAUGCUAGUCUGUGGUCUAAUUUGAAUCCUGAUUCAAAUAAAGUGAUUUUUAAAAAUGGA